rnacentral:rRNA from 1 species
CCGGAAUUAUUGGGUUUAAAGGGUGCGCAGGCGGGAGAUUAAGUCGGCGGUGAAAUUUUGCAGCUCAACUGUAAAAGUGCCUUCGAUACUGGUUUCCUUGAGUGUGGAUGAAGUAGGCGGAAUUUGUGGUGUAGCGGUGAAAUGCUUAGAUAUCACGAGGAACUCCGAUUGCGCAGGCAGCUUACUAAACCACUACUGACGCUCAGGCACGAAGGCGUGGGGAUCAAACAGGAUUAGAUACCCAGGUAGUCCACGCAGUAAACGAUGAUUACUGGCUGUUUGCGAUACAAUGUAAGCGGCUGAGCGAAAGCGUUAAGUAAUCCACCUGGGGAGUACGUUCGCAAGAAUGAAACUCAAAGGAAUUGACGGGGGCCCGCACAAGCGGAGGAACAUGUGGUUUAAUUCGAUGAUACGCGAGGAACCUUACC